rnacentral:rRNA from 1 species
UACAGAGGUCUCGAGCGUUAGGCGGAAUCACUGGGCUUAAAGCGUGUGUAGGUGAAUCGUUAAGUACCUUGUGAAAUCCCACGGCUUAACCGUGGAACUGCUUGGUAUACUGGCGGUCUUGAGCCAGCUAGGGGCUACCGGAACAAAUGGUGGAGCGGUGAAAUGCGUAGAUAUCAUUUGGAACGCCAAUGGUGAAAACAGGUAGCUGGGGCUGUGCUGACACUGAGACACGAAAGCCAGGGGAGCAAACGGG